rnacentral:rRNA from 1 species
GACUAACGCUGGCGGCGUGCUUAACACAUGCAAGUCGAACGGAAAGGCCUGCUUUCCCUUGUGGAUUGCGGGUACUCGAGUGGCGAACGGGUGAGUAACACGUGAGUGAUCUGCCCCCAACUUGGGUAUAAGCCUGGGAAACUGGGUCUAAUUCCCGAUAGGACUGCAGGGUGGUGCCUGUGGUGGAAAACGAUUUUCUAGUGGUUGGGGGUGAGCUCGCGGCCUAUCAGCUUGUUGGUGGGGUAAUGGCCUACCAAGGCGGCGACGGGUAGCCGGCCUGAGAGGGUGGACGGCCACAUUGGGACUGAGAUACGGCCCAGACUCCUACGGGAGGCAGCAGUGGGGAAUAUUGCACAAUGGGCGGAAGCCUGAUGCAGCGACGCCGCGUGGGGGAUGACGGCCUUCGGGUUGUAAACUCCUUUCGACCGCGAGGAAGCCACCUGGUUGGAAGGGUGGUGACGGUAGUGGUAGAAGAAGCACCGGCUAACUACGUG